rnacentral:lncRNA from 1 species
CAAAAUCUUCCAUCGCCCGGGGCUGAGACUUGUCAAACUGCCCUCUACGGUCACCCGGAAAGUAGGAGGCUUUUUCUGCAGAGGGGAAAAAAAUCAAAAAGAGCCGUUCCAUCCCCCCUCCAAGGACUGGGUUUGAAUUGCUUUUCAUCUGCAGUGGCUGUGAUUCAGCGUCCCUCUUAGCAGCAGGCAAUGACAGAGGCAGGAGAGGGGAAAAAAAAAAAGAAAGAAAGAAAAAACACAGCAAAUGAAUCAAACGGACCAGGUAGCAGGCAAGAGUGUGGUUAUCGUUGGACCAGGAUUCAGGAUCUGACUGAGUAGCUGACUCUUAAUCCAGUUUGUGUUGAUCACCAGGAGGAUCUGGACCUCAGUAUUACCACAUCUAGAGGUGAUAUGCCAACUCCACCUUUGCCUUCCACCAUGUUUGGAAGCUCCCUGAGGCCUCACCAGGAGCAGAUGCUCGUCCCAUGCUUCCUAUAAGCCUGCAGAACUGGAAAAGAAAGCUGGAUAAAGUAUUUAUAGAAGAUAGAGGACCUGUGGUGGCUCAUGCCUGUAAUCCAAGGUGGAAGGAUUGCUUGAGGCCAGAAGUUCAAGACCAGUCCAAGCAACAUAGCAAGGCCCCAUCUCUACAAAAAAUGAAAAUAAAAUUAGCCGAGCGUGAUGGCUCAUGCCUGUAGUUCUAGCUUCUAGAGAGGCUGAGGCAGGAGGAUUGCUUGAGUCCAGGAGUUCAAGAUUACAGUGAGCUAUGGUCACACCACUGCACUCCAGCCUGGGUGAUGGAGUGAGACUGUCUCAAUAAAAAGACAAAAAGGCUGGCCAGGGGCAGUGGUUCAUGCCUGUAAACCCAGCACUUUGGGAGGCAAAGGCAGGAGGAUUGCUUAAGCCCAGGAAUUUGAGAUCAGCCUGGACAACAUGGUCAAGGAAGCUUUUCCUGAUCCACUAACUAAGGACAAUCAAACCCUUCAUGAUCUAGAAUCUGGAGACUGUGUCUUCUGGGAAUAGUAUCAGAGAAAGACUGCCCUUACUGCCCACAUGUAGCAAAACUUUGAGACGUUGAAUUAUGGGUCCAUAAUCUCACAACUCAGAGGGGCACCUCUAGACUCUUGGAACUGUAUAUCUAUUGGAGACUUUAAGGUAAAGCUGAACAGAGAGACGUUUUUCUCCAGAAGCAGACAGCACCAUAGUCAUGGACAGCUUUCCCAAGAUCACAGAUCAAGACUUCUCUGCCGUCAUGAGACUCAUAACCUCUUAAUUUUUUCUUGCUUAUGCUUCUGUGAACAAUAGAAUUGGAAAAGGGGUGGUCCCGCGUGCACCCAUAGGGUAUACUUUUAUUUGUGGAGGAUUUUGCUGCCAACCUUAUACAUGGGCAAACUUAUGCCUUCAUGGAUGGAAGAUAAAGGGCUAAUAUGGGUUAGAAAUUUUAAUGGUACCUUUGUUUCUCCAUAAUCAUUCAGAAACAGAACACUGGUCCACUCUUGUUAACCUACAUCAUAGGUUGAAGAGAACAUUGCCAGGAGGCCUUCAUCCUUCCAGAUGGGCACCAUUUGUUGGGUCUUUUUCCGUGGUAUGAAGAAAAUGAAGCAAUGAUUAGAAAUUGGUCCCUCGGCCGGGCACAAUGGCUCAUGCCUGUAAUCCCAUCACUUUGGCAGGCCGAGGCGGGUGGAUCACCUGAGGUCAGGAGUUUGAGACCAGCCUGACCAAUGUGGUGAAACGCCAUCUCUACUAAAAAUACAAAAAUUAGCUGGGUGUGAUGGUGCACACCUGUAAUCCAGCUACUCGGGAGGCUGAGACAGGAGAAUUGCUUGAACCUGGGAGGCAGAGGUUGCAGUGAGCCAAGAUCACCCCACUGCAUUCCAGGUUGGGCAACAGAGCAAGACUCUGUCUCAAAAAAAAAAGAAGAAAGAAAGAAAUUGAUCCCUCAUAAUAGGCUGUAUAGCAGAUUCUACUGCAAAGGCUAUGGUUGCACAACAGACUUCUUUGAAUUUGCUUGCUAAACUUUUACUGGAUAAUACUGGGAUUACAGGUGUGAGCCACUGUGCCCAGCCUCUCCUGUUUAACUGUAUUCAUUCUAAUGUUUACUUACUUCUUUAAUUUGUAAAAUUGGGUCACUUAGAGUUUUUUUAGCCUAUCUUGCCAUUUAGCCACUGUUACUGAUAAUUUGGAUGGAAAAGAAAAAUAAAUUAUAUCACCUCUCAUCUUCAGUGUAUAUAUGUGUUAACUUAGUAAAUAUAGUAUUCUUUCUCGUUCCUAAUGAAAAUUUAGUUUACGUACUGAAACACUGCAAACUUUUAUAAAUAUUGUGAUGUAUUUGACCAAUACAAAGGAUCUUUUUAGAAACAGCAAACAGUUCUCAGAUUAUAGGAAUUACUCAUUUAAUGAUAGUUUCUUCUU